rnacentral:pre_miRNA from 1 species
CACAUACUCCCUCCGUUCGGAAUUACUUGUCGCGGAAAUGGAUGUAUCUAGACAUAUUUUAGUUCUAGAUACAUCCAUUUCCGAGACAAGUAAUUCCGAACGGAGGGAGUAACAU